CCCACUUGUGCUCUGUCUCUGUCUCUCUCUCAAAGAUGAAAAAAAAUCAUUUUUAAAGGGUUUGAAAAUGUCUAGUAUCUUUAUAACUUUUGUUUAUAUAAAAUAAAACACCUAUUUGCUCUUCACCUUCAUGCAUACUCAUGGCUUUAUACACAGUAUGCUGCCUCCACCAUUUUGGGGAAACCCUCUGCCUUGAUUCUUUCUGUCAAUUUAACUCUUAUCAAUAGGAAGCCUGUUUUUUUACACAACUUUUCCAGGAACUCCUCCCUGUGACUCCUCCCUCUCAUAACCCUUAGCAGAACUUACUGCCCCCUUUUCUUUCAACACAAUCAUAUUCUGCCUAGUCAUGUGGCUUUGGUUGUUGCCUUAUCACUUGUGUGACUCUCCAAAUCCAGAUCUAAUGUUCCCUUGAAUUAGAAAAUAGGUUUUAUAUGUUCACUUUUCCUGUGCUGUGCCUAUGGUGCAAAUGUUACAUUUGGAAUGGAAAGGACCCCAGGUGGAAACUCAUCAGACCUUUGUUUUACAGAGGUCAAAUGACUCGGCCACGGCCACAUGGAAUUUAUGGGAGAUCACCUGAAGCCCACUAUAAUGCACUUUCAAGGAACGAGGGAGAAAGGGAUACAUGGACAAGCAGAUCUACAACCUUCCUGCUGAAUGAUGUUGGGAAUGCUACCCUCCUUUCGUGGCCUGUUUUACUCAUCAAGCUUCCCUGGUAACAUUCUUUGGAAGAUUACAACUUCAGUGUGAACAGAGCAUUAACUAAGUUCUUAAUGAAGUUACACUUGCUUACUGGCACCUGGUCUCUGAGGGAGAAGGAAAACAACUUUCUAACAACAGUGAGUGAGCCAUCUAUCCUUCUGGAACCUUGUAAUAGGAGACAUGAAGAAUGAGAAGACUGGACUGCCAUCAGGAAACUCCCAGCCACACAGGAUGGUAAAUGGCAGGAAGAAAUAGUGAAUAUGUAAAAAGAGCAGAAAUGGCUGCAUAGGUAUGAAUUAUGGGGUAGGAGUGAUGUCACCAGGAAGGUGACAUAGGUAGCUCCUGACUGUACAAGAACUGAAAACCAUUCAUGAUGAGACAUCAAUGAAAACAUUCUAGAAUGUGAAGCACCUCUGCACCAAAGACCUGGAGACAGACUUCACUGGAAGGAUAAGAGGAGCAGUUACACAUUGGUGUUAUGCCAGCCGAGGGAGGGACACACUGGGAGGUCUCCCCAAAGCCUACAGCCAUCCAGUAAGAAAAGAGAGCCCAUCAUGGACAGUGGGUCCCUUUUGGGGAGUUUAUACUUUGGUCUCACCUCAAGGAGAUCAUGGGAGAAUCUGCAGGGCUUGCAACAACCAGCAUUCAGAUCUUGGCCAAAUGGCUCCUACCAGCAAUGCCCAGGUGGAAGUCCCAAGGAGCAGCCUCACUCAUCUGCACGGCCAAGACAGUGGCACAGUUUGACCAGGGAAUGAGGCAGGAUGCAGGUCUGCCUGAUCUGGGAACUCAGAUGAAGAUCCUUGCUGUACUCUGAGUCUGGUCUCCUCACCCUGGCAAGGCAGCUAAUUCUUAGCCCAGACCAAUACUGAAUGCAGUUCCUGGCCCUGCCCAACCAGCAAGCCUGUUCUGAUAACUGGGAAAUGUCUCGGUACGGCAGCGCUCAAACAGCGCAGCCAGUGGCUCUGCCCAUCUGUGGAGACAGACUAGUGAGCUUAUCUGGCCAGAGAGUUUGAGGCACAGGUAUGUCUGGUAAGACUCUCACUUGGGGAGCUAAGCAGACUUGGGAUCUUUUCUUUGGCUGCCUACACCUCCUUGUGCAGGAAAGCUCAGCUGCAGCUCUGCCCACUGCUCUGCCCUCCAGUCCUGCUAGCUGAAACCCCUAAUCUUGGUAGCGUGCCCGCCAGCCCUGAUUAUAAUGGUACUUGAACAGAGAACAUCACCAGCAGCUUUGUAUCCGUGGAGCCAUUUGUCCAGACAGCUGAGUGUGCAGGUCUGACUUGAUUCCUCCCACCCUCAAAAGACUAGUCUGCAGCCUGCCCAGGCAAAGGAAUAUAGAGCGGCCUCCAGACUGACACAACCCUAACCAGAGCUCUUUCCAACUUGUGACCUGUGAAGGGCCUCAUCUAAGCAGAAACACUAAUUCGAAACCUCACCUAAACAGACCCUGAUAGCAAGUGCCACCUGCUCAAAGAUGUUACAAACUGAUAAAUGCAGAAAAUCAAGUCAAGUGGUCUGGCCCAGUCUAGAAGAGGAGACCACUUACUCAAAUGUGCAGAUACUGACAUAAAUCACUAAAAAAUGUAAACACGAUACCACCGGGGCAACUAAUGAAGCGCUAAUAAAUGACACUAAAAAAUGGA